GGCUACAGCCAUAUCACCCUGCAGCCCAAGACUGGUUGCCCGCUGAAGCUAAGCAGGGUUGAGGCUGGUCAGUACCUGGAUGGGAGACCUCCUGGGAAAACUAGGUUGCUGUUGGAA
rnacentral:rRNA from 1 species